rnacentral:rRNA from 1 species
GAUGAACGCUGACAGAAUGCUUAACACAUGCAAGUCAACUGUGGCGGACGGGUGAGUAACGCGUAAAGAACUUGCCUCACAGCUAGGAACAACCUUUGGAAACGAAUGCUAAUACCUGAUACUGUGAGAGAGCUUUGCGUCCCAUUAGCUAGUUGGAGAGGUAACGGCUCACCAAGGCGAUGCUGGGUAGCCGGCCUGAGAGGGUGAUCGGCCACAAGGGGACUCGGACACGGCCCUUACGCCUUCGGGAGGCAGCAGUGGGGAAUAUUGGACAAUGGACCAAAGUCUGAACAAGCAAUUCUGGGUGCACGAUGAAGUUUUCGGAAUGUAAAGUGCUUUCAGUUGGGAAGCGGUACCAACAGAAGAAGUGACGGCUAAAUACGUGCCAGCCGCCGCGGUAAUAC